rnacentral:rRNA from 1 species
UACGGAGGGUGCAAGCGUUAAUCGGAAUUACUGGGCGUAAAGCGCACGCAGGUGGCUGAGUCAGUCGAUUGUGAAAGCCCUGGGCUUAACCUGGGAAUUGCAGUCGAUACUACUCGGCUAGAGUCCGGAAGAGGUGAGUGGAAUUCCUGGUGUAGCGGUGAAAUGCGCAGAUAUCAGGAGGAACACCGAUGGCGAAGGCAGCUCACUGGGACGGUACUGACGCUGAGACGCGAAAGCGUGGGGAGCAAACAGG